GAUGAACGCUGGCGGCGUGCCUAAUACAUGCAAGUCGAGCGAACAGAUGAGGAGCUUGCUCCUCUGACGUUAGCGGCGGACGGGUGAGUAACACGUGGAUAACCUACCUAUAAGACUGGGAUAACUUCGGGAAACCGGAGCUAAUACCGGAUAAUAUAUUGAACCGCAUGGUUCAAUAGUGAAAGACGGUUUUGCUGUCACUUAUAGAUGGAUCCGCGCCGCAUUAGCUAGUUGGUAAGGUAACGGCUUACCAAGGCAACGAUGCGUAGCCGACCUGAGAGGGUGAUCGGCCACACUGGAACUGAGACACGGUCCAGACUCCUACGGGAGGCAGCGGUUGGGAAUCUUCCGCAAUGGGCGAGGGCCGGACGGAGCAACGCCGCGUGAGUGAUGAAGGUCUUCGGAUCGUAAAACUCUGUUAUUAGGGAAGAACAAAUGUGUAAGUAACUAUGCACGUCUUGACGGUACCUAAUCAGAAAGCCACGGCUAACUACGUG
rnacentral:rRNA from 1 species